rnacentral:tRNA from 1 species
GCCCGGAUGGUGAAAUUGGUAGACACGCUAGGUUCAGGGUCUAGUGGUCGUAAGGCCGUGUGGGUUCAAAUCCCACUCCGGGCA